GACGAACGCUGGCGGCGUGCUUAACACAUGCAAGUCGAACGGAAAGGCCCUGCUUUUGUGGGGUGCUCGAGUGGCGAACGGGUGAGUAACACGUGAGUAACCUGCCCUUGACUUUGGGAUAACUUCAGGAAACUGGGGCUAAUACCGGAUAGGAGCUCCUGCUGCAUGGUGGGGGUUGGAAAGUUUCGGCGGUUGGGGAUGGACUCGCGGCUUAUCAGCUUGUUGGUGGGGUAGUGGCUUACCAAGGCUUUGACGGGUAGCCGGCCUGAGAGGGUGACCGGCAACAUUGGGACUGAGAUACGGCCCAGCCUCCUACGGGAGGCAGAAGUGGGGAAUAUUGCACAAUGGGCGGAAGCCUGAUGCAGCAACGCCGCGUGCGGGAUGACGGCCUUCGGGUUGUAAACCGCUUUCGCCUGUGACGAAGCGUGAGUGACGGUAAUGGGUAAAGAAGCACCGGCUAACUACGUG
rnacentral:rRNA from 1 species